AUUGAACGCUGGCGGCAGGCUUAACACAUGCAAGUCGAGCGGGGAAAGGUAGCUUGCUACCUAACCUAGCGGCGGACGGGUGAGUAAUGCUUAGGAAUCUGCCUAUUAGUGGGGGACAACAUCUCGAAAGGGAUGCUAAUACCGCAUACGUCCUACGGGAGAAAGCAGGGGACCUUCGGGCCUUGCGCUAAUAGAUGAGCCUAAGUCGGAUUAGCUAGUUGGUGGGGUAAAGGCCUACCAAGGCGACGAUCUGUAGCGGGUCUGAGAGGAUGAUCCGCCACACUGGGACUGAGACACGGCCCAGACUCCUACGGGAGGCAGCAGUGGGGAAUAUUGGACAAUGGGGGGAACCAUGAUCCAGCCAUGCCGCGUGUGUGAAGAAGGCCUUUUGGUUGUAAAGCACUUUAAGCGAGGAGGAGGCUACCGAGAUUAAUACUCUUGGAUAGUGGACGUUACUCGCAGAAUAAGCACCGGCUAACUCUGUG
rnacentral:rRNA from 1 species